GGUGGUUCAGUGGUAGAGUGCUUGCCUUGCAUGCAUGAGGCCCUGGGUUCGAUUCCUCAGUACCA
rfam:Dipodomys ordii contig_19091, whole genome shotgun sequence.